rnacentral:rRNA from 1 species
GGGCCCGCACAAGCGGCGGAGCAUGCGGAUUAAUUCGAUGCAACGCGAAGAACCUUACCAAGGCUUGACAUGCACUGGAAGCGCUCAGAGAUGGGUGUGCCGUAAGGCUGGUGUACAGGUGGUGCAUGGUUGUCGUCAGCUCGUGUCGUGAGAUGUUGGGUUAAGUCCCGCAACGAGCGCAACCCUUGUCUCAUGUUGCCAGCGGGUUAUGCCGGGGACUCAUGGGAGACUGCCGGGGUCAACUCGGAGGAAGGUGGGGAUGACGUCAAAUCAUCAUGCCCCUUAUGUCUUGGGCUUCACGCAUGCUACAAUGGCCGGUACAAAGGGUUGCGAUCCUGUGAGGGGGAGCGAAUCCCAAAAAGCCGGUCUCAGUUCGGAUUGGGGUCUGCAACUCGACCCCAUGAAGUCGGAGUCGCUAGUAAUCGCAGAUCAGCAACGCUGCGGUGAAUACGUUCUCGGGCCUU